rnacentral:misc_RNA from 1 species
CGUAGGUGAACCUGCGGAAGGAUCAUUAUUGGAUUUUGAAACUUCAGGCUGCUGCUGGCUCUCCUCGGAGGGCAUGUGCACGCUUGUUGUCCAUUAUUUCUCCCACUGUGCACAAAUUGUAGACCUUUCAGUAGGCCUAUGUUGUUUUUCACAAUCUCUGAAUGUAAUAGAAUGGUUUUGAAUCUUGGGAAAUACAAUACAACUUUCAGCAACGGAUCUCUUGGCUCUC